UAAAGAGUUCUAUAACUCCCAAACCCAUGUGAACAUACCUAACGUUGCCUCGGCAGGUCGCACCUACCUUGUAGCACCCUACCCUGUAGGGCCUACCCGGGAGGUGCGGGUAAGCCUGCCGGCGGCCCACCAAACUCUGUUUGAUAUUGAAUUCUGAACCUAUAACUAAAUAAGUUAAAACUUUCAACAACGGAUCUCUUGGUUCUGGCAUCGAUGAAGAACGCAGCGAAAUGCGAUAAGUAAUGUGAAUUGCAGAAUUCAGUGAAUCAUCGAAUCUUUGAACGCAUAUUGCGCCCAUUAGUAUUCUAGUGGGCAGGACCGUUCGAGCGUCAUUUCAACCCUUAAGCCUUCGUUGCUUAGUGUUGGGAGCCUACGGCAACGUAGCUCCUCAAAGUUAGUGGCGGAGUUGGUUCACACUCUAGACGUAGUAAUUUUUUAUCUCGCCUAUUAGUUGGACUAAUCCCCUGCCGUAAAACCCCCAAUUUAUCAAGGUUGACCUCGAAUCGGUUCAGACAAACUCGCUAAAUUGAAGCAUCUUAGUCAGCGAAGGAAAAGAAACCAACAGGGAUUGCCCUAGUAACGGCGAGU
rnacentral:rRNA from 1 species